AGAAUCAACGCUGGCGGCGUGCCUAACACAUGCAAGUCGAACGAGAAAGUGGAGCAAUCCAUGAGUAAAGUGGCGACCGGGUGAGUAACACGUGACUAACCUACCUUCGAGUGGGGGAUAACCUCGGGAAACCGAGGCUAAUACCGCAUAACAUCGCAAGAUCAAAGCAGCAAUGCGCUGGAAGAGGGGGUCGCGGCUGAUUAGCUAGUUGGCGGGUAACGGCCCACCAAGGCGAAGAUCGGUAUCCGGCCUGAGAGGGCGCACGGACACACUGGAACUGAAACACGGUCCAGACUCCUACGGGAGGCAGCAGUGGGGAAUUUUGCGCAAUGGGGGAAACCCUGACGCAGCAACGCCGCGUGGAGGAUGAAGCCCCUUGGGGCGUAAACUCCUUUCGACCAAGACGAUAAUGACGGUACUGGUGGAAGAAGCACCGGCUAACUCUGCGCCAGCAGCCGC
rnacentral:rRNA from 1 species